ACUCCUACGGGAGGCAGCAGUGGGGAAUAUUGCACAAUGGGCGCAAGCCUGAUGCAGCAACGCCGCGUGAGGGACGACGGCCUUCGGGUUGUAAACCUCUUUUAGUAGGGAAGAAGCGAAAGUGACGGUACCUGCAGAAAAAGCACCGGCUAACUACGUGCCAGCAGCCGCGGUAAUACGUAGGGUGCAAGCGUUAUCCGGAAUUAUUGGGCGUAAAGAGCUCGUAGGCGGUCUGUCGCGUCUGCUGUGAAAACUGGGGGCUCAACCCCCAGCCUGCAGUGGGUACGGGCAGACUAGAGUGCGGUAGGGGAGAUUGGAACUCCUGGUGUAGCGGUGGAAUGCGCAGAUAUCAGGAAGAACACCGAUGGCGAAGGCAGAUCUCUGGGCCGUAACUGACGCUGAGGAGCGAAAGCAUGGGGAGCGAACAGGAUUAGAUACCCUGGUAGUCCAUGCCGUAAACGUUGGGAACUAGAUGUAGGGACCAUUCCACGGUUUCUGUGUCGCAGCUAACGCAUUAAGUUCCCCGCCUGGGGAGUACGGCCGCAAGGCUAAAACUCAAAGGAAUUGACGGGGGCCCGCACAAGCGGCGGAGCAUGCGGAUUAAUUCGAUGCAACGCGAAGAACCUUACCAAGGCUUGACAUAUACCGGAAAAGGCUGGAAACAGUCUCCCCGCAAGGUCGGUAUACAGGUGGUGCAUGGUUGUCGUCAGCUCGUGUCGUGAGAUGUUGGGUUAAGUCCCGCAACGAGCGCAACCCUCGUUCUAUGUUGCCAGCACGUAAUGGUGGGAACUCAUAGGA
rnacentral:rRNA from 1 species